AGAGUUUGAUUAUGGCUCAGGAUGAACGCUAGCUACAGGCUUAACACAUGCAAGUCGAGGGGCAGCAUCAUCAAAGCUUGCUUUGAUGGAUGGCGACCGGCGCACGGGUGAGUAACACGUAUCCAACCUGCCGACAACACUGGGAUAGCCUUUCGAAAGAAAGAUUAAUACCGGAUGGCAUAGUUUUCCCGCAUGGGAUAAUUAUUAAAGAAUUUCGGUUGUCGAUGGGGAUGCGUUCCAUUAGGCAGUUGGCGGGGUAACGGCCCACCAAACCUACGAUGGAUAGGGGUUCUGAGAGGAAGGUCCCCCACAUUGGAACUGAGACACGGUCCAA
rnacentral:rRNA from 1 species